rnacentral:miRNA from 1 species
UAGACCCAGAGGCUUAUAGCUCCAAGUCAUAAGAGCUACAGCCUAUUGUUCUAGGCUUUAGAAGCCAGAGAC